rnacentral:rRNA from 1 species
CCCUUAGAUGUUCUGGGCUGCACGCGCGCUACACUGAUGCUUUCAUCGAGUAUAUAACCUUACCAGACAUGGUUGGGUAAUCUUUUGAAACAGCAUCGUGAUGGGGAUAGAUUAUUGUAAUUAUUAGUCUUCAACGAGGAAUUCCUAGUAAGCGCGGGUCAUCAUCCCGCGCUGAAUACGUCCCUGCCCUUUGUACACACCGCCCGUCGCUCCUACCGAUUGAGUGGUCCGGUGAGGCUUUGGGAUCUGAGCGGAAAGAGCGUUUCGCUGUUUCUGCUCGGAAAACUCAGUCGAACCUUAUCAUUUAGAGGAAGGAGAAGUCGUAACA